AAAGUUUUAUACACAUUAUAAAAACAAGGUCUUGACGAUGCCGCGGGCGCGAGCGUGUGUGAACGGGCUCAGAAUGAACAACGACGAGAAUCGGCAACUAACAACGGAUGCAACUUUUGAAAACUGGCAGCAACGGAGAUGUCGAUGCAAUGCAGAUGAUGCGAAUGAUGCGAUGAUGAUGCGACAAAUGAAAAUACCCACACGACAAAAACAGAAAGAAA
rnacentral:lncRNA from 1 species